rnacentral:tRNA from 1 species
GAAGAUGAACCGCGAAUGGUCGCGGGACCGCCUCGAAAGCGGAUCGGGCGUGCAAGCGUCAGGGGUUCGAUUCCUCCGUCUUCC